rnacentral:rRNA from 1 species
ACCCGUUGAUCCUGCGGGAAGUUGCUGCUAUUUGGGUUCGACUAAGCCAUGCAAGCACGGAUUCCUUGAGAACACCGGCAGAUCGCUCAGUAACACGUCGAUAAUCUAACCUUAAGUUUAGGAUAACCUUGGGAAACUGAGGAUAAUAUUUAAUAAGAGAAAGGUAUUGGAAAAUCCUUUCUCUGAAAAGCAAUGCUUAAGGAUGAGUCGGCGGCGGAUUAGAUAGUUGGUGAGGUAACGGCUCACCAAGUCGAAGAUCCGUAGAGGCCUUGGAAGAGGGAGCCUCGAGAAGGGCACUGAGAUACUGGCCCUAGCCCUACGGGGUGCAGCAGGCGCGAAAACUUUACAAUGCACGAAAGUGUGAUAAGGGAACCCAAAGUGCUUUACUUAGUAAAGCUUUUGCCAAGAGCAAAUAUCUUGGAGAAUAAGUGGUGGGCAAGACUGGUGCCAGCCGCCGCGGUAAUACCAGCUCCACGAGUGGGAACUAUAAUUAUUGGGCCUAAAGCGUCCGUAGCCGGUUUAAUAAAUUUUUUGUGAAAUUGUUGGGCUAAACUUAACAACGUGCAGAAAAGACUGUUAAACUUGGGACUGGGAAGAGUUAGAAGUAUCUUAAGGGUAGCGGUAAAAUGUUAUAAUCCUAAAGAGACUACCAAUGGCGAAAGCAUCUAACUAGAACAGGUCCGACGGUGAGGGACGAAAGCCAGGGGAGCAAACCGGAUUAGAUACCCGAGUAGUCCUGGCCAUAAACGCUGCGAGCAAGAUGUUGCGUAUUCUUCGUGAAUAUGCAGUAUCGAAGAGAAGUCGUUAAGCUCGCCGCCUGGGAAGUAUGGUCGCAAGACUGAAACUUAAAGGAAUUGGCGGGGGAGCACUACAAGGGGUGCGGCGUGCGGUUUAAUCUAACUCAACACAGAGAAUCUCACCAGAAGCGACGGCACAAUGAAAGUCAGAUUAAAGGUUUUACUUGAGGAGCCGAGAGGUAGUGCAUGGCCGCCGUCAGCUCGUUCCGUAAGGUGUCCUGUUAAGUCAGGCAACGAGCGAGACCUGUAUCUACAAUUGCCAGCAGAUUCUUUCGAAUGACUGGGCACAUUGUAGGAACUGCCUUGGAAACAAGGAGGAAGGUGCAGGCUACGGUAGGUCUGUAUGCUCCGAAUCUUCUGGGCUACACGCGCGCAACAAUGGUAGAGACAAUGGGAUGCAACUCCGAAAGGAGAAGCUAAUCCUCCAAACUCUAUCUUAGUUCAAAUUGAGGAUUGUAACUCAUCCUCAUGACGCUGGAAUCCCUAGUAAUCAGACGUUAUCAUCGUCUGGUGAAUAUGUCCCUGCUCCUUGCACACACUGCCCGUCAAAUCAACCGAGUUGGGUCUAGAUGAGAUUUAAUUUUUUAAUUAAGGCGAAUCUAGGCUUAGUGAGGUGGGUUAAGUCGUCACAAGGUC